ensembl:lncRNA
UCUAGUUCCAUUCAAUAGCAACUUGUUCCACCCUCACCUCUGCUGUCAUGCGUGGUGCUGUGCCUUGGUGUCCAUGGGCUGGGCAAGGAGCUCCUACUGGGAUCCUUGGGAGCAAUGGGUCCUGAGCUCUGGUUGCAUCCCAGCUUAGGAGGACGUUCUGGCUGUGAGCUCAGCACCCCAGCAACACCCAUCCUGUGGGGAUCCAUCAGCACUGCACUGCUUUGGCCAUGGCCAGAGCAAAGGGGCUGUCAGCUGCCGCCACGCCGCUCCAUUCCUCAUAAUGACAUUAUGUAUUGCCGGCAUUAAUCACGCUGCUAGGGCCAAGACCAGAACACGUCUGCUGGGUUCUGCUGGCUGGGUUCUGCUGGGUUCCUGCAGAGCCCAGCCCCAGGGCACGGGCUUUGGUGCAAACCUUACUUCUUCACCAUGUGGCUUGCACAGAGCUUGCAUUUAGACUCCUGGUUUUGGGUGCUGAAGCGGUUAGGUUCUUGCUCGGAUUUCCUUUGCAAAGCCCUGAAGUGUCCCAGAGCAGAUCUUGGCUGGGGAAAAUCCUUCCCUCGAUGCCCUCAGCACGAUGCCAGCCCUGCACGGGGCUCCAUGGCUUCUCCCAGAUUGGAAACGCCACUUUCCAGCGGAGUGUCCCAGUUCAAAAGGAGGUGAACGGAGCGGCCCUGGCAUCGGAUGAGGGCUCCUCACUGCAGCCUUUGUUUCGGGGAGUGAAAGAAGCGCUCACGGGACGGCAGUCAGCCGGGAGAAAACUUUAAUUAGGGUAACUGGAAGGCGGGCUUUAACCAACAGCCGCGGGAGGCCGGGUUUGAUCUCCUUGUGGGACGCAGCGUGUGAUGAAUGGUGGCCCGUGGGGGGAUGGACACCUGCCCCUCACAUGCUCCGGCCCCCGGCGCGGGCUUUGAUCUCGGGGGUGAGCAGUGCAGCGCAUGGCUGCGUGCUCCCGGCUGCUUUCAUGUGGCUGAGGGGGGUCUGGGGAUGGGGGGGUGCUCAGCCCAGGGUCAGCACGGAUCGCCCUGAGAGAAGUUCUGACCUUGAGCCUGAGGGCCCCCGCACCCCCUCAGACUGUGGGGGGUUCCGCCCCAUCCCACUGCCUGUGGGGUCUCCUCCAUGGUGUCACUCUGCCUUUCCCACACCAAAGCAGCUGUGCGGUGUAGAGGGUGCAGUGCAGCGUCCAUCUCCUGUCCUGAGCUCUGCUCACCCACCCCUUGCUGGACGCAGCUGAUUGGCACUGGCAUCUUCGUGCCUGGCAUGGGCCCGGGGUUAUUCUCAGCACUGACAUUUGUGCCAAGCCGGCAGUGUAGGAGGGGGUCCAGCAGGGUGAGAAAGGGGAUCCCUGUGGCUCCGGUUUCAGCCUGACCUUGAGAGUGCAGCAGGACCCCCCAGACCCUCCCAGACCCCAUCACUGCACAGACACCUGAGCGCAAGGGUGGCACCGGGAUGCUCUGUGCCCACAUCCUUUGCAGGCAAAGGAUGAGGAGCAACACUCUGCAACGUGCAGCUCACUGCAAACAGAGAACGCCCUCAUUUAGGGGAGAGAAAUGGCUGAAGGAAGCUAGAAACAAGUAUGGGAAAGCCCCUCUCUGUACUGCAUAAAUAUAACAAAAACAAAUUUCCAAAAGCCCUGGACAAGCCCGGUAAGUCUGUAAUGUGGUGUCCUGUUUCCUAAUCUCUCCAGUAAGGAAGCAGUGUGCUGAAUUUAAAAUAUCCCUCUGGUAAAUGCUAACUAUUUAAAGAGUGCUGGGGUCUUAGAAAUGCAAAACAAAGAUUUGUUGAUUAAAAACACAUGGUUUGUUCUGGAGGCAUGAGUAGCCAGAAAAAUCAGUUCUGACAGUAUUUUGGCUUUUUCAAUCCCAC